GGCGAACGGGUGAGUAAUACGUGAGUAACCUGCCCUUGACUCUGGGAUAAGCCUGGGAAACUGGGUCUAAUACUGGAUACUACCUCUUACCGCAUGGUGGGUGGUGGAAAGGGUUUUACUGGUUUUGGAUGGGCUCACGGCCUAUCAGCUUGUUGGUGGGGUAAUGGCUCACCAAGGCGACGACGGGUAGCCGGCCUGAGAGGGUGACCGGCCACACUGGGACUGAGACACGGCCCAGACUCCUACGGGAGGCAGCAGUGGGGAAUAUUGCACAAUGGGCGGAAGCCUGAUGCAGCGACGCCGCGUGAGGGAUGACGGCCUUCGGGUUGUAAACCUCUUUCAGUAGGGAAGAAGCGAGAGUGACGGUACCUGCAGAAGAAGCGCCGGCUAACUACGUGCCAGCAGCCGCGGUAAUACGUAGGGCGCANGCGUUGUCCGGAAUUAUUGGGCGUAAAGAGCUCGUANGCGGUUUGUCGCGUCUGCUGUGAAAGCCCGGGGCUCAACCCCGGGNUCUGCAGUGGGUACGGGCAGACUAGAGUGCAGUAGGGGAGACUGGAAUUCCUGGUGUAGCGGUGAAAUGCGCAGAUAUCAGGAGGAACACCGAUGGCGAAGGCAGGUCUCUGGGCUGUUACUGACGCUGAGGAGCGAAAGCAUGGGGAGCGAACAGGAUUAGAUACCCUGGUAGUCCAUGCCGUAAACGUUGGGCACUAGGUGUGGGGGACAUUCCACGUUUUCCGCGCCGUAGCUAACGCAUUAAGUGCCCCGCCUGGGGAGUACGGCCGCAAGGCUAAAACUCAAAGGAAUUGANGGGGGCCCGCACNAGCGGCGGAGCAUGCGGAUUAAUUNGAUGCAACGCGAAGAACCUUNNCAAGGCUUGACAUUCACCGGACCGCCCCAGAGAUGGGGUUUCCCUUNGGGGCUGGUGGACAGGUGGUGCAUGGUUGUNGUCAGCUCGUGUCGUGAGAUGUUGGGUUAAGUCCCGCAACGAGCGCAACCCUCNUUNUAUGUUGCCAGCACGUGAUGGUGGGGACUCAUAGGAGACUGCCGGGGUCAACUCGGAGGAAGGUGGGGAUGACGUCAAAUCAUCAUGCCCCUUAUGUCUUGGGCUUCACGCAUGCUACAAUGGCCGGUACAAAGGGNUGCGAUACUGUGAGGUGGAGCUAAUCCCAAAAAGCCGGUCUCAGUUCGGAUUGAGGUCUGCAACUCGACCUCAUGAAGUNGGAGUCGCUAGUAAUCGCAGAUCAGCAACGCUGCGGUGAAUACGUUCCCGGGCNUNNUACACACCNCCCGUCAAGUCACGAAAGUUGGUAAC
rnacentral:rRNA from 1 species